GUCUGCAGGGUAAUGGACUAAUGGCUUCCAUGUAUGAUGAGAUGGGACCUUUGAGGGCACUCCCCAUCGAGGAGGGAACAAAGGCCAUGACCCCUGGGUCAAAAGCGUUACAUGGGAGGCCAAGCGAGCUCAUUGAAUGCUCCACUGUUGUUUGCUUUAAGAAGGAUUCUGAAAGGAGAGGAGGAAGAGAGAAACAGAGAGAAAAGAGCAAAGGAGAGCUUCUCCUGGGAACAAGCUGGAAAUUAUGGACCUAUUCGAUAUCAGACCUCAGAGUGGACAACCUAUCCUAAGAGGGACGCGCCCUAACUGUAACUAACAACUACUUCUGGCAGCCCUUCAACAACCAGACAUAUUGUCCUGGAUCAGGGCCGUUUUCGAAAAGGCAGCAAUGAGCAAGGGCAGCCUAGGCAAGAAAUCAACAUCGACCUUCAGCCUCAUUAAUAUCAAUUAAUACUUUUUUUCUCUAAUAAAAAUACAGAAUUUUAAACUAUGAUCCCAAUGAGACGUUAAUUAUCAAAUGUAGCAUGUUAAGGUGAUACAUGCUAUAAAAAAGAAGGAUUUCCACACUAAAGUGGGGCAGCAUUAAGGGGUCAACACAGCACUUUAAAAAAAAUUUUUUUUUUUAAAUAUAUAAUGCGUGAGUUAAUUAUUUCACCUACUGUUUUAGUACUGAUAUAUUAAAAGCUCAAAAUCCAACACAAAUGCAAUGUUGCGUUACUUUGUACUGUGUAGGUCUGAAGAUCUGCAUUUAAAGUGUGAAUGCAACAAAACUGCCUUAUGGUGGAAACGAGCACAAGCAGGGUUUGAAUGAGUGUAACAAUGUAAUAAAUAUUCAAUUAAAAAAUAUUUUUGACUGAGUAUAA
ensembl:lncRNA